UACGGAGGGAGCUAGCGUUAUUCGGAAUUACUGGGCGUAAAGCGCACGUAGGCGGCUUUGUAAGUAAGAGGUGAAAGCCUGGAGCUCAACUCCAGAAUUGCCUUUUAGACUGCAUCGCUUGAAUCAUGGAGAGGUGAGUGGAAUUCCGAGUGUAGAGGUGAAAUUCGUAGAUAUUCGGAAGAACACCAGUGGCGAAGGCGGCUCACUGGCCCAUUACUGACGCUGAGGCACGAAAGCGUGGGGAGCAAACAGG
rnacentral:rRNA from 1 species